UACGUAGGGAGCAAGCGUUGUCCGGAUUCACUGGGUGUAAAGGGUGCGCAGGCGGGGAAGUAAGUCAGUGGUGAAAUCUCACGGCUCAACCGUGAAACUGCCGUUGAUACUGCUUUUCUUGAGUUCGGGAGAGGUUGAUGGAAUUCCAGGUGUAGCGGUGAAAUGCGUAGAUAUCUGGAAGAACACCAGUGGCGAAGGCGGUCAACUGGCCCGUAACUGACGCUCAUGCACGAAAGCGUGGGUAGCGAACAGG
rnacentral:rRNA from 1 species